CUCUGACGCUCCACAUGCUUCUCUGGCCAAGUGUGCCGAAGGUACCUCAAGGUAUCCGUCGGUUGGCGUUGCUCAUACUGGGCGUAGAACUUCCGGGUUAGCGGAUGAACUGGAAGGCAGGAGAAGAUCUCAAUAGCAGUAGAGCUUUACCAUUCAACAAGCUUGUUCUGAAACAUGAUAUACUAAGCUAACCAGGAAUCUCUAGCAUACCUUGGCUCACUGGAACAAAGGUUUCGUAAAGUCGGAUGUGCCGAUUAGAUCUAUGGAUCAGCUCCUUUUCGAAAUCGUAGGGCAGCGGUCGGGGAUCCCCCUCGCGAUGAUCCAGUGCGUCGCCAUUUUCCUCGCCCUCGUCGGUGGUUUCGAAUCCCGGUUUCAUACUCGUCCACGUCUACUCUUCUACUCCCCGAAGGAGAGCUCUGUUUACGGAAAUCCAGGCAAUCCGUCCGCAACGCGUGGCGUGCUCGGUUCGUUUGACUGGCUGCGGACUACGCUGCAGCAAAUACACCUCUCCGUCCCUACCUCCCACUAUCCCUUUGCCUGCCGCUCACUGCCUGCCUGGCUGUCUUUUCGUUUUGGCAGGAACUUGUACUCAUUAAAGUUUUCCCAUUGUUGCUGCAUGGCAGGCAACGUUAGCAAUACUGUACACGCAUCCCCACAACGCAGCCCAUGGGGCCCAAGGAGUUGCUGCUCCCAACUCCCAGUGGUGUCGAUGGCAGUGGUGUGACCCACAAUCACAGUUUCGCCAACGUCAGAGGCGCCUGUCGGGCGGAUUUCCCCAGCAGUUGCUGUGGGCUGUCCGCGAUGUGUGCGAUUGGCUCAGGAGAAAGUAAAAGGACGUCAGCCAGUGAUGAGACGGAGCACGGGUACUAUUCAAGAUUGGAAUUGGUUGAGGUAUACCCAAGUGUACCGAAGGCAAAAGUCAUCGAUUGAUUGGAACUGGAGAACUUAUCUCGCUUGUUUAAGGCUAACAUACUAUUAUUGUAAACGAUAGGAGCUUACUAUACCUUCGCAUCACUGCUUCCAACACCCAAGGGCUGGCUCCAUUCAUGUCGUUGGCGUAAUUUACUACAAGCCCAAAACCCGAAUCCCUGAAGUAAACAGCAAUAUCCGAAAAUAAACCCAUUCGAGCGAUUGCCUUUGCGUGUCCAAACAAUCGCAGCCACAAAAUUAUCUAGAGGCAGAGGAGCAGGUGGCCACCACAUCCGGCACUUGGCCGCCGCGAUUCUCAACAUUCGCUUCGGGUUGUGCAACUCUCUCGAUUCGUCGUCAAUUUCAGACUAAUCGAAUCUAAUUGAAUGCAUAAAUACGGAAAUAAAUCAAUUUAAUUACAAUACAGCCAACAACAGUCAUCGCAAAUAGUUUACACGCACACAAGCACUCGAACCAUAAAUACGAUUAUUACAGAUAUAAAUUUGUUUAAGCCUUGGUAAGGUAUUUAGAAAACCUCCAAAAGUUGCGGGUUCACAUGCUAAAUAAAUUAAUUGCCGGCACAAGUAGGACCACUUGAGGUUUCGCACGGUAGAAGGGGUAUUCGCACUUGUUCGUCAACUAUACAUAAUUUCGAUGAUCUAUAAUCUUAUCUUAACUAAGCUAUAAGAAAUCGCUGGUAGACAUGAUUGUACAAGAAGUUGAAGUUCCAGGAAAUGGUAUGCUGGUUUGGUUAUUACAUAUAUGUAUGCAGUUUACAAUUUAAACAAAAAUGUAAAUGUUUUAAAA